GCCAAGCCUAGAAGGAUGGAAUCGGAGCCGAAAGGCAACGACGCCCCGUCGCUAUGUGGUUGUUACCUACUUUGAUGAGUCCCCCACGCUGGACGUUAGGGUGUUGCCAAUCCUUUGCCAUUAUAGAUAUGGCUUCGGUGGUGGUCUUCUGCACCUGCAGCUUUGAGUGCCCGCAGAUGACUUUGUGAAACAUCCGCCAACGUGGCUUGCUGAACACCGUGGGCCUUUUUAGGGGUCCUGAUGCCUGCGGCCAAAACGUCUCCCUUAAAGACCGUGUCAGUUUCAGGGCUCUCUAUCGAUCAGCGUCCUAAAUCCACCUCACUGAUUGUGAAAUGACUGAGUGUGCCUUCACAGAUGCGGCCCUCCCCGAGCCCCGAAACUUACUUUCCGGGUCCUUCUCUGCUCAUCGCCAGACAGCAGCCCACGGUCACAUUUCCUCUCCUCUGAUUAACUAGAGGGCCUCUCAUUCAUCGGCCGCUCACCUCAUCCUCUCUGGUCCCGCCUCCCUUCUUUCUCCACGUGGUCAGCAAAGCAUAUCGGAAAUGUCCCCAAAUGCAGAGAAGACCCUUCUGGUUUGAGAAGUAGCCCCAAGAGGCCUAUUCAAGAGGAAAGACCUUCGAAGUCCUGCACUUUAUCUUGGAAGUUCUAGUGACCUCUGAAUUCUACUUUAUAGUCAAUCUCCUUUACAAUAAAAACAGUAUUUCCCCUA